rnacentral:rRNA from 1 species
AUUGAACGCUGGCGGCAUGCUUUACACAUGCGAGUCGAACGGUAACAGGCCGCAAGGUGCUGACGAGUGGCGAACGGGUGAGUAAUGCAUCGGAACGUGCCCAGUCGUGGGGGAUAACUACUCGAAGGAGUAGCUAAUACCGCAUACGAUCUAUGGAUGAAAGCGGGGGACCGUAAGGCCUCGCGCGAUUGGAGCGGCCGAUGUCAGAUUAGGUAGUUGGUGGGGUAAAGGCUCACCAAGCCAACGAUCUGUAGCUGGUCUGAGAGGACGACCAGCCACACUGGGACUGAGCAACGGCCCAGACUCCUACGGGAGGCAGCAGUGGGGAAUUUUGGACAAUGGGCGCAAGCCUGAUCCAGCAAUGCCGCGUGCAGGAAGAAGGCCUUCGGGUUGUAAACUGCUUUUGUACGGAACGAAACGGCUCUGGUUAAUACCCGGGGCUAAUGACGGUACCGUAAGAAUAAGCACCGGCUAACUACGUG